AAUUGGGAUUGGUAGGGGUUGGUCUCCUGGGGAAACGUUGAUUUUUGGACUGAGGAAAACCAGGGUGCAGUCUGCAGCCCCUCUUUCCUGGAGUAAAUGAACUGGACCAAAUCUCAAAAAUCCACGAUGUUAUCGGCACACCUGCUCAGAAGACCCUCACCAAGUUCAAACAGGGGCGGGCCUUGCGGGGAGAAGCAGUAAGCAGCCAUCUCCAUCCGGCACUCAGAUGUGCACGCCCUUGUGUGACAGGCGGCAGCAGUGCGACCGUGACCUCCCGUCUCCUUCUCUGCUGUCCCCACACCUGCGGUGCAGCCAGCCUGCCACGAGGCAGCUAGAGUCCAGCUAGACCCACCCCUGGCACGGCCGACCUCUUCCUGGCUUCUUCUGGGCCUAAUCCCCAUGCAUUCUCC
rnacentral:sRNA from 1 species